rnacentral:rRNA from 1 species
AUUGAACGCUGGCGGCAGGCCUAACACAUGCAAGUCGAGCGGCAGCGGGAAAGUAGCUUGCUACUUUUGCCGGCGAGCGGCGGACGGGUGAGUAAUGCCUGGGAAAUUGCCCAGUCGAGGGGGAUAACAGUUGGAAACGACUGCUAAUACCGCAUACGCCCUACGGGGGAAAGCAGGGGACCUCCGGGCCUUGCGCUCUUGGAUCUGCCCAGGUGGGAUUAGCUAGUUGGUGAGGUAAUGGCUCACCAAGGCGACGAUCCCUAGCUGGUCUGAGAGGAUGAUCAGCCACACUGGAACUGAGACACGGUCCAGACUCCUACGGGAGGCAGCAGUGGGGAAUAUUGCACAAUGGGGGAAACCCUGACGCAGCAACGCCGCGUGGGUGAAGAAGGCCCUCGGGUCGUAAAGCCCUUUCGGACGGGACGAACGCUCCGCGGUGACAAGCCGCGGAGCCUGACGGUACCGUAAGAAGAAGCACCGGCUAACUCCGUGCCAGCCGCCGCAGUAAUAC